CCAGUCAGGUAUAGUCCUCUUUGGAAAUAGGUCGGUCCCAAUGGGUCACUGAAGUUAAUCGAUGUUGCGCGUGGUUAGUAUCCGGAUGGGUGACCAUUUGGGCAGUUGCGUGCUGUUGGC
rnacentral:rRNA from 1 species